AUUGCCUGAGGCUUUUUUAAAUAUGCAGAUUCUGAUUCAGCAAGGAGGGCGCCUGAGAUCCUGCAUUUCUAACAAGCUCCCAGGUGAUGCC
rnacentral:miRNA from 1 species